AUUGAACGCUGGCGGCAUGCUUUACACAUGCAAGUCGAACGGUAACAGGUUAAGCUGACGAGUGGCGAACGGGUGAGUAAUGCAUCGGAACGUGCCCGAUCGUGGGGGAUAACGCAGCGAAAGCUGCGCUAAUACCGCAUACGAUCUGAGGAUGAAAGCGGGGGACCGUAAGGCCUCGCGCGAUCGGAGCGGCCGAUGUCAGAUUAGGUAGUUGGUGGGGUAAAGGCUCACCAAGCCAACGAUCUGUAGCUGGUCUGAGAGGACGACCAGCCACACGGGGACUGAGACACGGCCCAGACUCCUACGGGAGGCAGCAGUGGGGAAUUUUGGACAGUGGGCGCAAGCCUGAUUCAGCAAUGCCGCGUGCAGGAAGAAGGCCUUCGGGUUGUAAACUGCUUUUGUACGGAGCGAAAAGGCUCUCUCUAAUACAGGGGGCUCAUGACGGUACCGUAAGAGUAAGCACCGGCUAACUACGUGCCAGCAGCCGCAGUAAUAC
rnacentral:rRNA from 1 species